rnacentral:lncRNA from 12 species
GGGGGGGGGGGGGGGGGGGGGGGGGGGGGGGGGGGGGGGGGGGGGGGGGGGGGGGGGCUCAUCUCCAGCCGCCUCGCCUUCGCGGUUUAUCCCCUCCAAGUUUGCCCGGAUGCUUAGGGUGAAAGCCAAGAAGCGGGUGAAAAGGUGAAGCGAGAGGUUGAAGAAGAAAGUGGCAGCUGAGAUCCAUCAAUGCCCAGGCUAUCAGAAGAAACCAAACAUAUCACAUCUGUUUCCACUGGAGACCUGUAUCACAUCAAUAAUGCAGCAUCACCAGACUCUUCCUGAAAGACUCCUGUGUAAGAGAGAGAGGAAGAACAAGACUGAUUUUUUUAAAGGGCAAAGAACUCUUUUCCCUAUCUGAGUCAUAUUUUCUAUUUCUGUCAAACUAAACCAUUCUAUUUAGCUAUCUUCUUUAUACAACAGCCCUUUUUUUGCCAUAUUUUCAUUGCUAAAGUUUUGAGUGAUUGGGCUAUCAUCACAUUCACAGUUUUCAAAUAACUCUUAGCAAAAUGUGUUGUAGGUGAGGCCAAAUCCUGGAAAACAAGAAACAUGUUCUUGGAUGAAAAGCUUCUGAAGGUGUUGUGCCAUGGCAGCUAUUGAUGUAAUCUUAUUUUCCUCUACGUGUUAAAAACCAGUUGUACGAUGGCAGGCUGAAUCCCUCGCAGCAAACUACUUGUCCAAGUUAUGUAUCCCUACCUAUCCUACAGAUUCCUCUUGUUAAAAAAAAAAAAGCUUUGGGGGCUUUAAUGAAGUAUUUAUUUU